CUGAAGGUGACAUCACACUCAGGUGCUGGACUCUGGGAUUCUACCCUGCUGACAUCACUAUGACAUGGAAGAGAGAUGAAGAGGAACUAACACAGGACAUGGAGCUGCUGGAAACCAGGCCUGCAGGGGAUGGAACCUUCCAGAAGUGAGCAGCUGUGGUGGUGCUUAUUGAAGAGGAGCAGAAAUACACAUGCCAUGUGCAGCAUGAGGAGCCUCCUCAGUCCAUCCCCAUCAUGACCAUUGUCUGUGCUGUCCUUGGAGCUGUGGUGAUCUUAGGUUUUAUCAUUGGAGGUGUUAUGCUGUGGAUGAGGAAGAACACAGGUGGAGAAGGAGGCUAUGCUCCUGCUGCAGCUUUUCAACAUGGCCAACUUGUCUUCAGUGCUCACCUUCCUUGGGUGGAGUGAUCCUGGAGAACCAGACUGCAUUGCUUAUAAAGCCCACACAGACUCAGACCUGUGCCCAGAUCUCAUGAUGGAGGCCAUGGCGCCUUGCAAGCUACUGCUGCAGCUGGGGACAGCCCUGUCCACCACACAGACCAGUGCAGCCACGCGGAGACUCUGAGGACGAAGUCCGGAGCGCCGUGGCUGGAACAGGAUGGGCGGGAGUAUUGGGAGCAGGAGGCAUGGAACGCCAAGAUCACCCAGCCGAUUUUCUGAACUACAAACACAGUCAAGAAGGCUCUCAUACCAUCCAGGUGAUGUCUGGCUGUAAAGUGGAUUCGAACAGCUGCCUCCUUUGUGGAUAUGAAGGAUAUACCUAUGAUGUCUGCAAUUACAUCUCCCUGAUGGAGGACCUGAGAACAUGGACAGAGGAACAGAUCACCUGGUUGGAGAUGGAGCAGGCUGGAAAUGCAGAGACACAGGGCCUACCAGGAGACACAUGUGACCUCAUACCCACAGAGACACAGAGACACAGAUCUCAAGGUGAUGUCACCCUGAGGUGCUGGGCCCUGGGUUUCUACCCUGCUGACAUCACUCUGACCUGGAAGAGGGAUGAGGAGGAACAGACACAGGUCAUGGAACGGGUGGAGACCAGACCUGCAGUGGAUGGAAGCUUCCAGAAGUGGGCAGCUGUGGUGGUGCCUUUUGGAGAGGAGCUGAAAUACACAUGCCAUGUGCAGCAUGAGGGUCUGCCUGAGCCCCUCAACCUGAGUUUCGAGCCUCCUCAGUCCAUCAUGACCAUUGUCUGUGCUGUCCUUGGAGCUGUGGUGAUCUUAGGUUUUAUCAUUGGAGGUGUUAUGAUGUGGAAGAGGAAGAAGACAGCAAGUGCCAGCCAGGCCUGGGGGAGCCCCUGUACGUGGAAUCCGGCUACAUGGACGACAGACACGCAGUUCAUGAGCUUCGACAGCAAAGCAGAGACUCCGAGAUAUGAGCCACAGGCGCCAUGGAUGGGGCAGGAGGGGCCAGAGUAUUGGGAGAAGGAGAUGCAGAUCGCCAAGGGCAAUGAGCAGACUUUGCAGGUCGGUCCCAUGGACUUUGGUGGAGUCCCAGGGAAGAAUGCAAAACGCCUGAGCUUUCCAACUUCUCCUCGGACCCUCCAGACCCUCCGCGUGUGACCCAUCACUCCAGAUCUCAAGGUGGUGUCACACUCAGGUGCUGUGCCCUGGGAUUCUAGCAUGCUGACAUCACCCUGACCUGGAAGAAUCAGGAGGAACAGAUACAGGACAUGGUGGAGACAAGACCUGCAGGGAUGAAAGUUUCCAGAAGUGGGCAGCUGUGGUGGUACCUUUUGGAAAGAAGCAGAAAUACACAUGCCAUGUUGAGCAUGAAGAUCCUAGACCCUCUCCAGACAACCAUCACCAUCGUGACCAUUGUCUGUGCUGUCCUUGGAGCUGUGGUGAUCUUCGGUUUUUAUCAUUGGAGGUUUUAUGAUGUGGAUGAGGAAGAACACAGGUGGAGAAGGAGGCUAUGCUCCUGCUGCAGGUCAGUAUGUGAGGGAUGAAUUGUC